UACAGAGGAGCCAAGCGUUGUCCGGAUUGACUGGGCGUAAAGCGCACGCAGGCGGCUGCGCGCGUGGGGUGUGAAAUCUGGCCGCUUAACGGCCAGGCGCCAUCCCAUACGGCGCGGCUUGAGCCUUGCAGAGGGCGGUGGAAUUGCCGGUGUAGUGGUGAAAUGCGUAGAGAUCGGCAGGAACACCAAGGGGGAACCCAGCCCGCUGGGCCAGUCCUGACACUGAGGUGCGACAGCGUGGGGAGCGAACAGG
rnacentral:rRNA from 1 species